AAUGAGAAUUGUUGCCAGUGAUUGGUGGAAUGAGCUUAUUUUGAGACAAAUAUGAAGUGUUUUGUUGGUCUGAGUGAGUUUUGGGGCAAGACUGAUCUUGGUAAUGCAGACUAUAUGAAGAGUUUUGAAAAUGUGGCUUCAGUACUGACCAAUGCUUGUUAGCAAUUGAAAAACUUACUGUAAUGGUUAAAACCGGGUCAAAGUAAAUUGCAGAUUGAUGGUAAUAAUAAUAUUUAAAAAUGUAUUCAGACCCUUUUACUAUUGAAAGAAUGGACAAAAGAAUACAUUGUGCUAACUUCAGUCCACUCAUCUUUUUCAGAUAAAAAUGUUUUGUCCUUUCUGUGGCAUUCAAUGGGCGACUUUGCCCAGAUUUUGUAGUUCCUGUGGGCGAGAUGUAAGCUUUGUAGAGAACGCCUCUAGAACUGCAGGUGAUGACCAUGUGUCACGUAUGACUGUGCCCAGAGCAGUGACUGAUGCAUGUGCCAUUCCAUCAAAGCCAACUGUUCUCCAGUUUAUGAAAUACAGAGAAGUAUAAAAACUGAAAGGAAGACAUAUUCUAAAAGUAAAAAGAAAUCAAAUAAAACAGUAUAGAUUUCUGUUGGGAUCAGGAGCAAGACCAGGAAUGGCUUUAAGCCCAUGAGAGGGAAAAACCUACCUCUACAUGUUGACCCCCAGUGGGCAUCUGAGCAACUCUUGGCAGCUGCAGUGAAAAAACAAAAAGAUUUCAAUCAAGACAUGGAAGAUGGAGAAUAUGUCUUGCUUUAUCCAGAUAGCUCUCAGAUAAAAAAUAUCUCUGGGACUGACACUCCUUUUACCAUUGGACAAUACAAAGAGGCCAUUGGAAAGGCGUUUCAAAGGAUCACAUUGUAGAUCUGUACCCUUGAGGAUUUGUUGUCAAAGAGUAAGUAUUGAAGUGGUAUGUUUUAUAUAUAUUUUAUGCACAUUUAAACUACAAACAAAAUACUUUAUGUGAUAAGUGCUUUAAAGGGAUAGUUCAGCCAAUUAAAAUUCUGUCAU